GAGGGUAUAGCUCAGUGGUAGAGUGCUAGGUUUAAGGUCCUGUGGUAGAACUCAGCGGUACAGUGCUGCUUCACAGAGUCCUGGGUUCAAGUCCCAACACCUCCA
rnacentral:tRNA from 1 species